rnacentral:rRNA from 1 species
CAGAAUGCUGCGGUGAAUGCGUUCCCGGGUCUUGUACACACCGCCCGUCACACCACGGGAGUUGGAGACGCCCGCAGCCGAUUAUCUAACCUUUUGGAAGAAGUCGUCGAAGGUGGAAUCAAUAACUGGGGUGAAGUCGUAACAAGGUAGCCGUAUCGGAAGGUGCGGCUGGAUCACCUCCUUUCUAAGGAGA